rnacentral:snRNA from 1 species
GGAUGUGAGGAUGAUCUGCCUGGACACCGGGCAUCCCACUGAUCUCCAGUGCUGACUCGGCUGCUCUGCCUGGCCAGAUGGGUGUCCCCUUCCUCCCUCACUGCUCCAUGUACAUCCCUCUCGAAGUUGUAUGCUCACUCAGUCAGAGAGGGUGACCACUCUCAAUAGAGGAGGACCGUCUCCUCAGCAAGGGUAUAGGAGGAGCUGUGCUCCCCUGCUAGAACUCCACACAAGCUCUCUAGGGACUGAAACGGCACAGACACAAAGGGUACAGGAAGCUGUGUCCUAGGUGCCUAAAAACACACUGCU